GACGAACGCUGGCGGCGCGCUUAACACAUGCAAGUCGAACGGAAGGGCCUGCUUUCCCUUGUGGCUUGCGGGUACUCGAGUGGCGAACGGGUGAGUAACACGUGAGUGAUCUGCCCCCAACUUGGGUAUAAGCCUGGGAAACUGGGUCUAAUUCCCGAUAGGACUGCAGGGUGGUGCCUGUUGUGGAAAACGAUUUUCUAGUGGUUGGGGAUGAGCUCGCGGCCUAUCAGCUUGUUGGUGGGGUAAUGGCCUACCAAGGCGGCGACGGGUAGCCGGCCUGAGAGGGUGGAGGGGGACAGUGAGACUGAGCAACGACCCUGGCUCCGACGGGAGGCAGCAGUGGGGAAGAUAGGAAGAUGGGCGGAAGCCUGAGGCAGCGGCGACGGGUGGGCGAUGACGGGCUGCGGGAAGUAAACUCCUUUCGAGCGCGAGGAAGCCUCCUGGUUGGGAGGGUGGUGACGGUAGUGGUAGAAGAAGCACCGGCUAACUACGUG
rnacentral:rRNA from 1 species